GGUUUGAUCCUGGCUCAGAUUGAACGCUGGCGGGAUGCUUUUUUGACAUGCAAGUCGAGCGGCAGCACGGACUUCGGUCUGGUGGCGAGUGGCGAACGGGUGAGUAAUGUAUCGGAACGUGCCUAGUAGCGGGGGAUAACUACGCGAAAGCGUAGCUAAUACCGCAUACGCCCUUCGGGGGAAAGCGGGGGGACCUUCGGGCCUCGCACUAUUAGAGCGGCCGAUAUCGGAUUAGCCAGUUGGUGGGGUAACGGCUCACCAAGGCGACGAUCCGUAGCUGGUUUGAGAGGACGACCAGCCACACUGGGACUGAGACACGGCCCAGACUCCUACGGAGGCAGCAGUGGGGAAUUUUGGACAAUGGGGGAAACCCCGAUCCAGCCAUCCUGCAAGUGAUGAAGGCCUUCGGGUUGUAAAGCACUUUUGGCAGGAAAGAAACGGCACGGGAUAAUACCCUCGUGCAACUGACGGUACCUGCAGAAUAAGCACCGGCUAACUACGUGCCAGCAGCCGCGGUAAUACGUAGGGGUGCAAGCGUUAAUCGGAAUUACUGGGCGUAAAGCGUGCGCAGGCGGUUCGGAAAGAAAGAUGUAAACCUAGAGCUUUAACUUUGGAACUGCAUUUUUAACUACCGAGCUAGAGUGUGUCAGAGGGAGGUGGAAUUCCGCGUGUAGCAGUGAAAUGCGUAGAUAUGCGGAGGAACACCGAUGGCGAAGGCAGCCCCUCCUGGGAUAACACUGACGCUCAUGCACGAAAGCGUGGGGAGCAAACAGAUUAGAUACCCUGGUAGUCCACGCCUCUAACGAUGUCAACUAGCUGUUGGGGCCUUUCUGCCUUGGUAGCGCAGCUAACGCGUGAAGUUGACCGCCUGGGGAGUACGGUCGCAAGAUUAAAAACUCAAAGGAAUUGACGGGGACCCGCACAAGCGGUGGAUGAUGUGGAUUAAUUCGAUGCAACGCGAAAAACCUUACCUACCCUUGACAUGUCUGGAAUCCCGAAGAGAUUUGGAGUGCCUGCAAGAGAACCGGAACACAGGUGCUGCAUGGCUGUCGUCAGCUCGUGUCGUGAGAUGUUGGGUUAAGUCCCGCAACGAGCGCAACUCCUUGUCAUUAGUUGCUACGAAAGGGCACUCUAAUGAGACUGCCGGUGACAAACCGGAGGAAGGUGGGGAUGACGUCAAGUCCUCAUGGCCCUUAUGGGUAGGGCUUCUCACACGUCAUACAAUGGUCGGGACAGAGGGUCGCCAACCCGCGAGGGGAGCCAAUCCCAGAAACCCGAUCGUAGUCCGGAUCGCAGUCUGCAACUCGACUGCGUGAAGUCGGAAUCGCUAGUAAUCGCGGAUCAGCAUGUCGCGGUGAAUACGUUCCCGGUCUUGUACACACCGGCCCGUCACACCAUGGGAGUGGGUUUACCAGGGUAGUUAGCCUAACCCCUCGUAAGGAGGGCGAUUACCACGGUAGGAUUCACGACUGGGGUGAAGUCGUAACAGUAAAACCCCAGCCAUUACCUGCCGC
rnacentral:rRNA from 1 species